GUGUCAGCAGCCGCGGUAACACGUAGGCACCAAGCGUUGUCCGGAUUUAUUGGGCGUAAAGAGCUCGUAGGCGGUUCGGUAAGUCGGGUGUGAAAACUCUGGGCUCAACCCAGAGCCGCCACCCGAUACUGCUGUGACUUGAGUUCGGUAGGGGAGCGGGGAAUUCCUGGUGUAGCGGUGAAAUGCGCAGAUAUCAGGAGGAACACCAGUGGCGAAGGCGCCGCUCUGGGCCGAGACUGACGCUGAGGAGCGAAAGCGUGGGUAGCAAACAGGAUUAGAUACCCUGGUAGUCCACGCCGUAAACGUUGGGCACUAGGUGUGGGUCUCAACCAACGAGAUCCGCGCCGUCGCUAACGCAUUAAGUGCCCCGCCUGGGGAGUACGGUCGCAAGACUAAA
rnacentral:rRNA from 1 species